GAUGAACGCUGGCGGCGUGCCUAAUACAUGCAAGUCGAGCGAACAGACGAGGAGCUUGCUCCUCUGACGUUAGCGGCGGACGGGUGAGUAACACGUGGAUAACCUACCUAUAAGACUGGGAUAACUUCGGGAAACCGGAGCUAAUACCGGAUAAUAUAUUGCACCGCAUGGUUCAAUAGUGAAAGACGGUUUUGCUGUCACUUAUAGAUGGAUCCGAGCCGCAUUAGCUAGUUGGUAAGGUAACGGCUUACCAAGGCGACGAUGCGUAGCCGACCUGAGAGGGUGAUAGGCCACACUGGAACUGAGACACGGUCCAGACUCCUACGGGAGGCAGCAGUAGGGAAUCUUCCGCAAUGGGCGAAAGCCUGACGGAGCAACGCCGAGUGAGUGAUGAAGGUCUUCGGAUCGUAAAACUCUGUUAUUAGGGAAGAACAAAUGUGUAAGUAACUAUGCACGUCUUGACGGUACCUAAUCAGAAAGCCACGGCUAACUACGUG
rnacentral:rRNA from 1 species